rnacentral:ncRNA from 1 species
GUCCUAAGGUAGAUUCGCUGCCUUCCGUACUGGUAACAGUACGGUACGCAUCCGGCUAUAUGCUGGGAAGUCUGGUGAAUCCCACGCUACCUGAAACCGCUGGCACUUUGCCGAUGGAACUUCAGGUGACAAUGCGAUGGGUGCAGACGAUCAGCAGGAAAGACUGAUCACUUUCCGAGGUGGUCAGAAUCCUCAGAGACCAUACGCCGGACGUCCGAGAUCGGACGAAGAUAUGGUCCCGACUGCAUGGCGACAUGCAG